CCUUUAGCUCAGUUGGUAGAGCAUCGGACUUUUAAUCCGCAGGUCGCGGGUUCGAUCCCCGCAGGGC
rnacentral:tRNA from 1 species